UUGUAUCUACACCUUGAUUGUGUCUUCUACAUUCUUUUCAUUUUUCUUAAUUGUCCUUUCAGAGACAACUAAGAUUUUGUGAAGGAGGGAAGUAUUGCUGUUGAUUUUAAUUUUGCCUCAGUGUGACUGAGACAAAGAUUAGAGUGGACAUUCAGUGACUGCCACACCAUUAACUGAGAAAUAAGGCAGCUCCCUGUGCAAAAUCCCGAGGAAUAUCCUGACAAGUGUCCUGAGGAGUGCCUUGAGGAGUAUCCUGAAAAGUCCCUUGAGGGAGGUCUGAAGGAUGGAGAGUCACAGACAGGAAUGAUCUUGGAGGACCGAAUCAGGAGCAAGAACUUGAGUCAAUUCAGAUUUUUACUCUUCAGAUUCAAGUGAAGCAAAAUGUUCUU
rnacentral:lncRNA from 1 species